CUCUGUAAUAUCACGUCUACUGUGUGGAUCGGUGGUUAUUUUAAUAAUAUAUAUCAACAUUUAUCAACAAUUUUUUUAUCCAUCUGUAUUGGUGUUUGGAUAUUUAUCUAUGUCAUGGAUUAAGAAUAUAGAGUUGUCAACACAUCUACAGUGAUAUGAUUAUCUUCCACAGUGUAACUAUAAGAAGAAUGUAAAAUGAUAAUGGGAAAAAUUAAAGUAUUAUUGUUGUGUUGGUACCUGAUAUUGGUAUAUAUUGUCGCACAGUCAGAAUCUAAUGUUAGUACAGCUUGUUAUGGUGCACCAGGUACAGGAAGAUGUAUUGAACAUAAACUGAUCUGUAGACAACCAUUGUUUAUAUCAAUAACUAAUAUAA